rnacentral:rRNA from 1 species
UACGUAGGGGGCAAGCGUUGUCCGGAAUUAUUGGGCGUAAAGAGCGUGUAGGCGGUCCGGUAAGUCAGCUGUGAAAGUCAAGGGCUCAACCCUUGAAUGCCGGUUGAUACUGUCGGGCUAGAGUCCGGAAGAGGCGAGUGGAAUUCCCGGUGUAGCGGUGAAAUGCGCAGAUAUCGGGAGGAACACCAAUGGCGAAGGCGGGUCUCUGGGCCGUAACUGACGCUGAGGAGCGAAAGCAUGGGGAGCGAACAGG